GUAUAUACUCUUAUACCUGUAACUCAGCCUUGUGUAGACGGUGAAACAGGUUGGCUAGUAACUGCUAAUCAAGCUGGCUAGUCAUAGUCUCGUCCUAUAUCUAGGUGGACUUGUAUUUAGCAAAUUAACCGUGACCAGUUAUCCGAUGGUUGACAACACUUCAUUCCGCGACCAGAUCACGGAUUUCCGUCGUGAAACUUUAGAAAUCAGUAAAGAUUUAGAGAGGAUGACGGAGCAGAUGGAGAAUAUUUCAGUGAAUGUGACUUGGAUGGCGUACGACACGGUGGCGAUGAGGACCGACCCUGAACUCGCAAAAUCUCUCAAGAGGCUGGAGGACGAAUUGGUCCAGUGCAAAGCUGUUAUAAGUGGAUCUAAAGACAAUCUAGUUGACCAAUACAAUACAGCUGCAAUCCAAAAGACAGCCCAAGAGUAGACGCCUUUUCUACUGGAAGUUUAUUUGUACUGUAUUUCGAUUUAAGAAAGAGAAUAUGGAAAAGUCCACAGGUAAUUCCCUCACAUCAGCCGCUGUUGAUCUGAAUCACAUACUGAUGCAGCUGGAUACAAUUUCAGAGACUCUGGAUCAGAUGGAAGUGAAGACUCAGCUGCUGCAGUGUAAUUUAACAGUGUGCUUCACACAUCCUGAUAAAAUGGCAUGUCUGCAUUCUUGUGUAGAAGACUCCACGGGUUUUACAGCAUCUCCAGAACUGGCAGAGUAAAGAGACAUACUUCAGAUUUCCUUCCUGUCAUCGGUCUUAUUUGCUACUGAAGAUCCCUGUUCUGUGUUCAGUAUUUUUGUUCUAAAAUCUGGGUUUUAGUUUGUGUUUGAUAUAUAAAGAAUAUACAGUAUGCAGUAUAUUUUACAUUCAGUACAGUGUUUACAGUAAACUCUAGGAAUUAAUGUUUUUUGGGCCUUAUGUAUAUACAUUGGGGUCCAAAAGUCUGUGAUUAGUUUUCAUUUACAAUUAUUCAUUUACAAAUAUUGAAAACAAAUGCUUUAACUGUUCAUUUAAUGGAACAUUUGCUAUUACAAAUGCCGUUCUUGAUCCCUAUAUCAAAAACUAAGCUUCUUGUAAAUGUAUCUAUUUUCUGACUUAAGAUGGUGCCAAUAAUUUGUAAUGAGAAUUGUUGUAUUAAAUUCAGUAAAGAAUGCAAAAUAGAAACAGUUUUACAAUUGUUUACAGACUCAAAUGGAAUCGACCACCUACAGAUUAAUGUAGCAAUAUGGCCAUCUUGUGGUUAUUUAUAGAAGUACCUCGACAGCUUUUUUCCCUGUUUGAUGGUGUUUGUUUUAUAUAUAACAAUAGAGCUGUUUAUAGCAGCACUACUUUAGAAUGGUGCACUAUUGCAUUUUCUUAAACAGAAACAAUGUAAAAGCUUUCUUUUUGACUGGAAAUCAAACUAUUGUUUUGUGAAGCACACAGGUUAAAACAAUGUAAAAACAGAUGUAAAAACAGUCAUUUGGAAACAGUCAUUUGAUUUGCUGUGGUGUUUUCUACUCUUUUCAAAGUCCCCCUUUCUACUGCAAUAAACAUGAACCAAGAACAUGA